rnacentral:rRNA from 1 species
AUGAACGCUGGCGGCGUGCCUUAUCCAUGCAAGUCGCGCGAACGGACGAGAAGCUUGCUUCUCUGAUGUUAGCGGCGGACGGGUGAGUAACACGUGGAUAACCUACCUAUAAGACUGGGAUAACUUCGGGAAACCGUAGCUAAUACCGGAUAAUAUUUUGAACCGCAUGGUUCAAAAGUGAAAGACGGUCUUGCUGUCACUUAUAGAUGGAUCCGCGCUGCAUUAGCUAGUUGGUAAGGUAACGGCUUACCAAGGCAACGAUGCAUAGCCGACCUGAGAGGGUGAUCGGCCACACUGGAACUGAGACACGGUCCAGACUCCUACGGGAGGCAGCAGUAGGGAAUCUUCCGCAAUGGGCGAAAGCCUGACGGAGCAACGCCGCGUGAGUGAUGAAGGUCUUCGGAUCGUAAAACUCUGUUAUUAGGGAAGAACAUAUGUGUAAGUAACUGUGCACAUCUUGACGGUACCUAAUCAGAAAGCCACGGCUAACUACGUG